UUUUUUUUUUUUUGUCCCAUGUGCCAGAUGGAGGGAAAUUUCCCUCCUCCAUUAUUCCAAGGUAAUUUUGGAAACUUUUCUUUAUCCCUUUCAUAAAGCUAGAAAUAUGGAUAUUUUGGGUUGUUCAUUAUUUUUUUAAUGGUAUUAUUGUCUUUUUAUUAUUCUGUUUAUCUCCAUUAGGGUUGACCAUUAGUCUUUUGGGGUAAACUGUGAAAAAACAAAUGUUGAGGGGUAAAUUGAGAAAUGGCUCAUACGUAAAAGGGAUAAAGUGCGAUUAACCCUAAAAAAUAUGAAUAAAAAAAGUGUCAAUGAAACAAUCUAAAAUUUUUCCUAUAAAAACUUACAAUCCAAAUGCCUUCUUAUAGUUUUACAAAGCACUAGUGUUUUGUGUUUGGUGUUUCUAGUUAAUUUCUUGUAUCAUCUUGUCAACUUUUUGAGCUUGAGAUUCAUUUUUUCACUCUUUUUCAAAAGUUUGGUGGUUUACGAGCCUAUCCCAAGUAUAGAAAUUUUAAAUUCCGUUCAACAAUAAAACGUGAGAUAUGUUGUUUAUUAUGUUAAGCACAAGGUUCGUACAUAGCGCUUCUUAUUAGUUGAGCUCAGGCCACUUACUAAAACUAAGCCGGUCGACAUACUUGACCAUUAGACAGCACACUUGGCCAAUGGUGCUUUUUUACAUAACUUUCUUGUAAUUUGAAAAUCUAAACAGUUAACUUUUCGUAUCACAUACAAUCAUUUUUGUUUGGACAUAGAAGUGUUUCUACCCCCAAAAGUUGAGGGCAUAAAGUGUUAUUAAUUGUAAGGAAAAGUUGGUAUUUUUAUUUAUAUUUUUCACCCCAUUUGUGGGUAAAGUGCCACUAAAAGUAAGAUAAAUUUUAUUUUAAUCAUUAUUAAAAUCUUGGCAUGCUUAAUGGUUGGUUUAGGACUAGUGAGAGAGCUCCAUGUGGACAUACAAAGACAUGACAGCACUUAUUUCCAUUUACCAUUGAUAAGUGACUAAUUUACAUAAUAAGUGUAUGAUAUUUUAUAUUAUUUUUAGUCACUUUGGUUAUAUUAUUGGAAGAAUAUGAAUCAUUUUGGCUAUAAUUGGUGAAAAAUGCUUUUAAGUGAUUAAAUGAGGUUUUUAUCACUUUUUACUUGGAUUUUGUGUAUUUUGACAGUUUUGACACAUUUUCGUAUUUCGGCUAUAACUUGAGCUACAAUGAUCGGAUUGGGAUGAUUCUUGAACCCAUUUGAAGAUAAGAGAUAGAUCUACAACUUUGGUGAAGACAUCUGAAUCCAGUUUGAAGGUUUUCCAGGUCAAAAAGCCGAAGUACAGAGUCAAUUGCUAUUGGUCGAAACUGGAACAAGGCAUGGAGCAGGCAAGGGUAUUUCAGUCAUAUCUCAGCCUACACAGAUCCAAAUGAGGUGAUUCUUGAUGCAUUGGAAAGAUAAGUCAAAAGGCUACAACUUUCGUGUUUUAGACAUGAGCUGGUUCAGCCUCUAACAUCAAGAAAAGAUCGGUUGAAGUUGGGCCAAAAACAGAGCAAGUGAUCCACACUCGGAUCCACUAUUCAUCCGAACCCUCGGCUGUUUCUGGGUUAGUGGAACCGAGCUCGGAUCCAUACGGAUCCGAGGCACUGUAGCAGCUCGGAUCACUGUAGCAGCCCAGAUUUACUGUAGCAAUCCGGCCGGAUUUGUGGCCGGAUUCCUGGCCGGAUUGUGGUCAGAGAAGUCUGCUUUUUACGCGGAAAACUCAAUUUCACCUCCACCAACUCACAUGGGAUGCUAGACAUGUGAGAAACAUUCCCAGCUGUAAAAGGGAAGUGUAAGCUUCAUUUCUUGACCACCUUUCAUCAUUAAAAGAGCCAAAUUCAUUGCAAGAGAAAGGGGGGAGUCAUAGCAGAGAUAGAGAAGAGAGAACAUACGGGAGAAAACUUGAGUGCAGAAAUGUAGUUCUUCCAUUUCCUUUAGUGUAGGAUAGUUAGCUAGUGUAGUUCAUCCAUUCUUGUAUAAUAGCUAUAUUAGGAUGAAGAUGGAGAUGAAGAAGGAGGAGUUGAAGCUCAAGUGACAUGGGUUAUCUCUACUCCAAUUCUUUAUCUUUUGUAUUGGAUUCUUAACUAUGGUUAUUAUGCAAGUUCUGGAAUUUAUGUCUAUUAUGUGUUUCUAAAGUUUAAGCCUUGGGUUUGGUUGAACUUUCUAUAAUUGUUAGUGUUUAUUAUUUGGUUAUUUGACUGCUAUAAUUUGAGCAAGUUAUUUAGCACUUUGGUUUCUUAAAUCAUGAUUAAUCUGGUACCAUUAAUUGUGAUUAUCUAAGGUGUUGUGUCUGCAAUGAAUAUUGAGAUUUAACACUAGUUCAAGAAGUGCUAAACAUAGGGAGUACACUCACGAAAGUAGAGGUGCACUUAUGUGGUUUUUAGUGAUUCAUUUCAUGUAAUUUCAUUGAAGAAAUGAACUUGUAGCUAAUUUCAUAACCAUGAAAAUAGGUAUGGAUUAGUUAUGUUUUUUUUUUUUUAAACUUUUUUAUUUUAUUAAUGAAAGAGAUAUACACAAUAUUUUUCCUUACAGACGUCUAAUUUUCCGAACUGAGGGCAAACCCAACUUGUCUAGAAAAAUUGCCCCACGAGCUACGGUAUGGAUUAGUUAUGAGUAUAGUUGAUUCACUACGAAAGUAGGUUUCACAUGUUUAAGGAAAUUACACCAUAACUAGCCUAAAUAUAGUAAUUAAUGAUCCAAAUAUAACACUUGCAUGAGUAGUUAGGGAUACCACAACCUAAGGAGCUUUUAUUUGUUAUUUUGUAUAAUUUGAGUAGGUAAAAUUUGUUAUAAUUCAUUGAUAGUCUAAAUAAUAGAGAAGUUUUAGUAAUACCGGUAAUUGUUCACUCUUCCCUGUGGGAUCGACCCGAUAUAUACCCUAAACUACUAGUUGAUCUGUAUACUUGCAGUGAACGGGUGUAAUUCGGUUUUUUAACUUGUACGUAUGUAAAAUACCCGUCAACCAUACCAAGUAGGCGUAGCAUGGUUCCUAAAUCGCCGGUUCUGAUUUAAAAAUCAACAAUUCUAACUCUUUUGAAAGGUGGAACUUAAUUAGCGCCUAUAGAGAUGAUUACGGUUAUAGUUCUUGAAUCUCCAGUUUCGAUUCAAGUUUUAUUCUGGUUAUGGUUACGAUUUUUUUAGGUUACGGUCCUAGUUCUGUUAUUUAUAUUCAAACACUUGUUAUUAUAAAAUUUAUUCUAAGAAAAUAUGACAAUGAAUGUAAAAAAUAAAAAAUAAAAACUAUAUUGUAUUAUCAUGUGCCAGGAAAAAGAAAAAUGAUUCAAAUUUUAUGAAAAGGGAUCUCAUUGUUAAUUAGAUUAGAUAAGUCUUGAAUUUAAAUUAAUUAUGGGAUAUAGAUUUACUAAUGGAAUGGAAAAUGUAGAGGUAAAAUAUAAGUUCCUAGAGAACCACUAGGUAUGGCGUCGUCGCCGCCUCCAUAAAAUGUUGGGUUUAUUAUAAUUACAAUUUGCCUCCUUGUACUUGACCCUUUAAAACCCGUUGUCUCCAUCUAGGGAGGUAAAAUGUAAAUGACCCAAAAAUAGGGCGUAAACUGUAAGUUCCUAGAAAAAAUCACAUAGCAACUUCCCAAUCUUGUUCAGUAAGACAAUUGUGUAGAAUUUAAGUUUUUCGUUCUAGGGAUUAAUAAAUCGUAGAAGGAUUUUAUAAGUUAUUUCAUCUAUACCCUGGAGACAAAACAUUCGUUAUAGUGUUUAGAUGAGCUGUCAUCGAUUUUGAAAAUAAUGAAAAGACUGGUGGUUUUGGAGUUGGAUGAUCAUGGAUGUUUUUCUCUGUUCCAAGACGUAUUUGUUGGUGGUCCAAUAAGUAUAUGACCAGUCCCUACAUUAAUUUUACAGCUCAUUUUUGCUAUCAAUUUUAGUAGCUUUCGUUAAUUAUAGUGUGUUGAACGAGGCUUGGGAAUUGUUAUAGAUGAUAAUUGGAAGCAACCCAUAGCAAAGGUGAUAAUUGGAAGCAAACCACAGGUGAUAAUUGAAAUUUUUUUUUCAUUCAUGAUGGUGUGUUAAAUGAGGCUUGGAAACUGUUGUAUGUGAUAUUUUGAUGUAAUUCACAGCACAACUACAGAUAUAGAAUAUUGGAUUAGUUCAUUGACAGAAAAUUCCAUUUGUCAAAGAAGUCUUGAAUAUGGGUUAGUUGGCCUCUUUCUCGAUGCAUCAGUUAAAAUUCUUUCAUUAUGACAUUUUGAAGAGCUUGGCUGUGUCAUUAAUGCUAUAGAUUGGUUUUCCAAUUUAUAGCUAGACUACAAUAGAAGUACGAUUUCACUUCUGAUAAUACCUUCACCAUAUACAAUAAUGACGGUUGUGUUUCUAAGUUGAAACCCAUUUUUAAUAUGGAAUAAUUUCACAAAGCGCCAUUAAGGUCUCUAAGAGUUCACUUAGCUUUCUUAAAGUUUUAAAAAUAUUAUUUACCUCCCCUAUUUUCAAAUUUUUGUAACAUUCUUAACCCAAUUCAAAUUAUAUGAUUAAAUUAUUCAUUUUAGGAAAGAGAAAAUGAUUUCUUUUCAAGAAUGCCCUUUUGUUGCCUUACUUUUUUUAAAAAACAAUUGCAAGUAUGAUAAUCAAAUGUUAAAAAUAAGGACAAAAAGUAUGAAGAUGUACUUUUUUUAAAGGGACAAAAUAUAGUAACUGCAACCAUAAGCAAAAUGCUUUUUAAAGUACAAAUAAAUAAUAAAAUUAUAUUUAACAUGUUUUCAAAUUACAGAAGAAUUUUAUCCUUUAGGGUUUGUCUAUUUGGAAAACUUUAAGGUCAUAUAAUUAGAAAUGAACCCAAUAUGAUUGUUAUCUUUUUGAUAAAAAUGUAGAUUUCUUCCACAAAAGUGUUGCAAAUCAGGGAGAUAGCUAUGAUUUUAAAACUCCAAUAUUGGGCCCAUCUUCAUUUACCAUAUCCUUAUUGUGUGCCUUUAGAUAACCAAAUGGAAAAAAUCUUUCUUUUUAUAUAAAAUGUUUUGCGAAAAUUUAAUAAAUUUUAUAAAUUGUUUAGAAUCUUUAAUUUUUAUUUAUCUCAAUAGAUGACUUGAAAAUUUAGAAAAGAAAAAAACAUUUAACACUUAUUUGAGAUGUUUAGAAGGUGAAAAAUGUUACUUUCUUCUUCUUUACUUUUUUUAAAUAAAAUAUCUUUUUUAUUUUUUAUAAAAUUUUUGACAGAGUUUUCCCUUAUAAAUGGACGAAACUCCCUGCCAACAAACCUAAAUUCAAGAAAAAUAUCCACAUUGGCAGUUAUUUAAUACAAAUUUUGUGCUAAGCUAAAGCAUUUUUCUACAAAAAUUAGGGAAACAUUUCAUCCACAUCCUGUAGCAGCAGCAGUAUGCCUAAUUUUCCUAAUCGAAGGCAUUCCUAUUCUAUCCAGUCGGAUUUGCUCACGAGCCAGCCUGGGAAACAUAUUAAAGCAGUCGUAGACCUUGAUAUGUUGCUUAGGGUGAAUUAUGCCCGCAUUAGACAGUGCAUUAACAGCUUUGUUUGCCUCCCUGUAGCAAUGUGAGAAACCAGCAGGAUCGUCAACUAAAUGCCAAAUUUGCCGGACCUCUUUUCGAAUAUGCCACGGACACUGAAAGCGCCGCUGAAGAAUCCCAACUAAGACCAAUGUAUCCGAUUGCACACAUAGGUUAUGAAAACCCCUUUGUACACAUAUUUGAAGACCAAUUAGAAGAGCCAGAACCUCUGCACGAAGAGAUGUAGUCUGUCCAAAGAAAGCCGAAAAAGCAAACAAAGGUAAGCCGGUUGAAUCUCGAAGGACCCCACCACCUCCACCCACUCCUGGAUUACCCUUAGAACAACCAUUCGUAUUGAGUAUAAACUUCCCAAUCUCUUUCACCUCCCACCGAACCAAUUUGAAUUCAAAUACACUAACAGACGAAAUCAACCAAUCAAACAACUGACAAAAUGUUUGCACUUCAAUCAUUUGUUUGAAGUGGAUUUCCACAAUGGAUUUAAUUUCAGAGAAGAUGGCUUUACAUAUGACAGCAGAUCGCAACUGGACACCCUCAAAUAUAGCUUUAUUUCUCACCUUCCAAAUGUGCCAAUAGGUAAUACUUGGAAGAACGAGACAGAUAAAAUGCUGUAUCGUAGAAUCUUGUGACCUUAACCACCAUUCAACUAUGCGAGCCCACAAGGACAUCCCUGGGAAGUUCAAUCCACAUAAACCCCCAAAAUAAUUCCAAACCUCCAAAGCUGUGUGACCAGUGGAAAAUACAUGUUCAAUAGAUUCCUCAGACGUCUCUUGACAGCAAAAACACUUUGAGGGCAAAUGGAAACCAAGUUUACAUAACGUAUCCGGAAGCGGCAGUCUUCCUGAUAAGUGACUAAUUUACGUAAUAAUUGUAUGAUAUUUUAUAUUAUUUUUAGUCACUUUCAUUAUAUUAUUGGAAGAAAAUCAAUCAUUUUGUCUAUAAUUGGUGAAAAAUGCUUUUAAGUGAUUAAAUGAGGUUUUUAUCACUUUUUAAUGGGAUUUUGUGUAUUUUGAUAGUUUUGACACAUUUUCGUAUUUCGGCUAUAUCGGAUUGAGAUGAAAUGAUUUUGAACCAAUUUAAAGAUAAGAGAUAGAUCUACAAAUUUGGUGAAGACAUUGGAAUCCAGUUUGAAGGUUUUCCAGGUCAAAAAGCCGAAUUACAGUAGCUAAUUUCUAUUGGUCAAAGCUGAAACAGGGCAUUGAGCAGUCAAGGGUAUUUCAGUCAUUUCUCAGCCCGUACAGAUCCAAAUGAGGUGAUUCUUGUUGCAUUGGAAAGCUAACUCAAAGGGCUACAAGUUUCAUGUUUUGGUCAAGAGAUAAAUCAGCUUUUAUCAUCAAGAAAGGUUCAGUAGAAGUUGAUGCAAAAUCGGAGCAGAGCUGGAAAUUGAACCAGAAGAGACCAAAUGGGCACUGUAGCAAUCCGGCCGGAAUUUGGAUGGAUUUGUGGCCGGAUUUCUGGCCAGAUUGAGGUCAGAGAAGGCUACUAUGUACGCGUAAAACUCAAUUUCACCUCCACCAACUCACAUGUGAUGCUAGACAUGUGAGAAACAUUCCCAGCUGUAAAAGGAAGGUGUAAACCUCAAGUCUUGACCAAUCUUUCAUCUUUAUAUAGCCAAAUUCAUUGAAAGAUUGGAGGAAUAUAGGGAGAUACGGGAGAAGCUUAGAGUGCAGAGAUGUAGCUCUUGCAUUUUCUAAGUAAUAGCAGUAGGUUAGUAUAGAGUAGACUGUUAUCCAUUCUUGUUUAUUAGCUAGGCAAAAAUGAAGAUGGAGGAUGAAGAAGGCAAGGAGAUGAACUCAUGUGAUAAGGGUUACAUUCCUUUCCAACUCUUUAUCUUUUGUACUUGAUUCCAAGUUUAGUUAAUAUACAAGUUCUGGAUUUUGUGUUCAAUAUGUGUCUCUAAAGUUUAUGCCUUGGAUUUGGUUGAGCUUUCUAUAAUUGUUAGUGUUUAUUAUUUGGUUAUUUGAUUGCUAUGAUUUGAACAAGUUAUUUAGCACUUUGGCUCUUUAAAUCAUGAUUAAUCUGGUACCAUGGAUUGUGAUUAUCUAAAGUGUUGUUUCUGCAAUGAAAAUUGAGAUUUAACACUAGUUCAAGUAGUGCUAAACAUAGGGAGUGCACUCACGAAAGUAGAGGUGCACCUAUGUGGUUUUUAGUGAUUCAUUUCAUGUAAUUUCACUGAAGAAAUGAACUUGUAGCUAAUUUCAUAACCAUGAGAAUAGGUAUGGAUUAGUUAUAAGUAUAAUUGAUUCAUUGCGAAAGUAGGAUUCAAAUGCAUAAGGAAAUUACACCAUAACUAGCCUCGAUGUAGUACUAAAUGAUCCAAAUAUAGCACUUGCAUGAGUAGGAUACCACAACCUAAGGAGCUUUUAUUUGUUAUUUUGUAUAAUUUUAGUAGGUUAAAUUUGUCAUAAUUCAUUGAUAGCCUAAAUAAUAGAGAAGCUUUAGUAAUACCAGUAAUUGUUCACUCUUCUCUGUGGAAUCGACCCGAUAUAUACCCUAAACUACUAGUUGACCUGUAUACUUGCAGUGAACGGGUGUAAUUCGGUUUUUUAACUUGCACGUAUAUGUAAAAUACCCGUCAAGUUUUUGGCGCCGUUGCCGGGGAAGAUUUGGCAAUAUCGGUGUGAAGAGCAACUUUAUUAGUUUAGACAUUUUAUUAGUUCUAGUGUAAAUGUUAUGUUUUGUUAUUUUAGUGUUUUAUGUGUGUAUGCAUUUUAUCACCUAUUCUUCUUACUAAUUUUGCUCUUAAGUUGUUUAAAAACAAUUUUAGGUAAUGAGGAGGAUAGAUCAAUUUGGAGGACAAUGCUUGAGAAGUGGAAGAUUGGCAAUGGAUGGUUACCAAGUGCAAAGCUUCUUCAACAAAAGUAACCAAGAAUUUACUGAAUGUAUGUCUUUUGAAGAUGGUUUAAGGUGCUUAAAGGCUAAAUUUGAUGUUAUGAUGCUACAAGUUCAAAUGGACACAAUUAUGCAUGAAAUUGAGCAAGGGAGGAAUGUUAAUGCUUUUAAUUCUUAUCAUAUGAUUUGCGAUUUGUGUGGAAGUUAUCAUGCUACUAAUGCAUGUAUGCAAGCACAAAAUAUGAAUUAAUAUGAUGAAUUAGAGCAUUACAAUCCCUGUUUUGAUCAAUAUAGUGCUAAUUGGAGCAAUUCUCCUGCUUAUGGUUGGGAUAAUCAAUGUGCAUAUAGUGAUUAUCCGUAUUUUUAUGAUUACCAAUCUGAAAGUGUCCAAUAUGAAUCAAAGCCAUCUUGAAAGUUGGCAAUAGAGAAGUUAGCUAAUGCACCUCUGCCUUGGGAGUUAGAAAGUGAACUAUUAGUUAAUGGUUCUAAUGCAUCUUGGGCGCUAGCUAUAGAAAUUUUUUCUAAUCAAUUUGACUUAGCCAUAGAAAAUCUAGCAAAUGCAACCUCCUACCGUUUUGAUAGGAUUGAAGAAAAGAUAGAUGAAUUAGCUUCUCACUUUGGUAGAAUACAUGAACAAUUGAGUGUAUUGUGUGAAGUUAUUUCUUCUAAUAAAGUGCAAAAUGACUCUAGCAUGAAUGGUGGGAAUGUUGUAUGUGAAAAUGGAUUGCAUUGUGAUGAAAAUGAUGAAUCUAACUUGGGUUUCAAUGAGAAAAUAUCCAGUUCACAUGAUAAUAUCUUUGGAACUAACUUUGAAACUCAAGAGGUGAGUUUUAAUGACUCAUUUUUCAUCCCUCUUGAGGAGAGUAUUGAAAGUGUAGAUUCUAAGGGUAUUAUUGCCCAAGACUAGAGCUGUUAAAUGAACCGAGCUGUUCGUUAGCUCGGUUCGUUUCGGCUCGUUCGUGUUCGUGAAAGGCUCGUUCGAAAUUUUAAACGAACCGAGUUCGAACGAAUUUUUUUGUUCGAUUAAUAAUCGAGGGAACACAAACAUGUUCGCGAGUUUUAACGAACGUUCGUGAACAUAGACAUAAUUAUCAUUUGACAAAUUUUAGGGUUAAUUUUAUGGCUGGACUUUUAUAUUUGGAGGGCAAAUUUCUUUGUUUUAUUUGUUGUUUUUAUGUUAAUGUUAGUUAUAUAGUUAAUGAAUAAUAGAAUUUAGUCACUUAGUGCUUUAAUUAUUUUUAAGAAUAAUUAAUAAUUUGCAUGGCAUAUUUAAAGCAUAAAAUAAUUUGGAUUCGAGCAUUUCGAACAUGUUCGCGAACGGCUCGUUUAUGUUAAACUAGUCGAACACGAACUCGAACUCGAACACGAAUUUUACUUAACGAACCGAACACGAACACAAGUUUGGAGUUCGAAAAUUAACGAACGAACACGAACGUUGUUCGAACUGCUUAACGAAUAGAGCUCAAACAUGAGAUACUCGGUUCGAUUCGGUUCGUUUACAGCUCUACCCAAGACAUCCUCAUUGCAUCUCCUUUGGAAAAUUCUUAAGUGUUGUAUAUUCAAGGUAACAUCUAUGAAUCACUUGGGAUAGGUAAGUCAUUUCUAUUUCUCACAUCAUUGGAUCAUGUGACUUUUGCUAUAAAGUCACCUUUUAAUGAUCCACCAAAACCUAAAAUGGUGGAUUAUUCGUUAACUAAGCCUCCUUGAAAAAUGAGGUGAUAUAGUCUAGCUAAUGAUUAUAAAGAAGUGCUAGUUGGGAGGCAACCCAAUGAUUUCUUAUUUUGAGUAAGUUUAAGUUGUUUAAUUAGUGUUUUUGUGUGUUUUAUAGGUGACAAUGGCAAUGGCUUAUGCAAAUGGCUUCAAGUGCAAAAUAGCUUAUAAGGAAGUAAAAAGGGAGUUUUCUUGAUCCAAUUCAUGCAUUAAAAGUGCUUAAUUCUUAAGUUAUAUUGAUGUAUGAUUUCAUGUUUCAAGGUGCAAUUGGUUGAGAAAGCACAUUUUUCAUGUUUAAGGUGAGUUUUUCUUGAAAAAAAUGAAGAAAGUUGAAAAUUGGGUGUGUAAAAAUCUUGGUAAAUGGAAAAACGGAAGGAAAAACUGCAGAAAUAAAAAUUUUCUACAGUAAAUCCGGCUAGAAAUCCGGCCAAUUUUUGGCCGGAUUAAUGGUCGAAUAGUCAAGGGAGGCGAAACAAAAAAAUUUUUGGCCACUGCCUCAUAUCUGGCCGAGAAUCCGGCCAAAAUCCGGCCAGAUAUGUAGAGUUUUUUUUUUUUAUUUAUCCGACCAACAAUCUGGCCAACUUCGGAAAAAUUGAAAAAAAAAAUUUCAAUGCUACUGGCCAGGAUCCUACCGAAAAUCCGGCCGAAAAUUGGCCGGAUUUUGGCCACUUUUGCGCACAAGAGGGUGGAUUCCCCAAUUUCUUCUUACCUUUCUUCUUCAACACUUCAUACACACUCACACCUAAAACAUACACUACUCCUAAAAUCCAUCUUUUCACCAACCAAUCUCCAAACUAAAUACACCAAAACACUUCUCUUUCACUUGUGAGUUGAUUUCAUAGCUUAAAAUCUUUCAAAAACAAGUUGUAAUUUGAAUUUGAGCUUGAGAAGAAACAAGGGUUUCAAAUUUUGAACUCUUCAUUUGGGGCCAAAUUGGAGUAAACUUUUUGGGGUUUCUUCACCAUUUGCAUCAUCAAUCAUCUACCAACAAGUUUGAGGUAACAAAUCUUCACCAAAUGUUGUCAUUUGAAUUUUGCCAAUUUUCACUUUUCCCUAUUUUUGGUCAAUUUCGAAUUUUUUUUUCAUUUUGUGAAGUUUGAUGCUUGUUAUUAUGAUUAUUGAGCUUAUUGAUGAUUGUUGGUGAUGUUUAACUUAUGGGUUUGUAAUUAUAUGCUGAAUUUAGCAAUUUUUAGCUAAUUUUGAGGAUUAAUUUGAUUUGAUCAUUAUUAGCUAAAUUUUUGGGCUAAUUAGAUUGAAUAAAAUUGUAUGAGAUUAAUGGAUUGCUCUAAGAUAUUUAUAUGCUAAAUUUAGGCUUAAUUGGCUAAUCUUUGAAAUUUUAGCAUGUUUAUUCUAGAAAUUUUGGUAAAAGGAGAAUUAAUGACCUUUUUAAGUUUAAAAUUCAUGGUAAAGAUGUUAUUAACACUUAAUUAGGCCAUUUGGGAGUAAGUUGUGAAUUUAUUUCAUUUUGUUUCCUCUAAUGGGUUUGUUUACUUAAAUGUUUCAAUUGGAAAAGAAUAAAAGAAGCAUUUGUUGUUGAUAAUCAAUUGUAAAGUCUUGCUUAUGAAGUUAAUUGCUAAUUAUUAUGUGAGUAACUUGAUAAGAUUGGCUAAUUAAAGAUAAAGAGGUAAACGUGAAUGAGUUUUCAUUAUCUUUACUUAGCAAUGUACCUAUUAAAUGAAGUUAAUGUUUAAUUAUUGAAUUUAGGUAUAAUGGCUCGCACUAAGAAAGCCGGUGUGAAAUCUCCUCCCAAUAGGAGAGGAGAAGCGUCUACGUCUAGACCACCACGCUUGAAAAGAAAAGCGAGUAGACGCCUUGUGCUUCAAGACAAGCCAUCAUCCGAGGAGGAGAAUCAACAACAAGAACAAUAAGAGGAACAAGAGGCACAAGGGGAACAAGAGGAGGAAGUCCCAUAUGAUAAGUCGCGCUUCACUUCCGCCGAAAAUGAAGCUUGGUACAAUGCUAGGAGAGGAGCUAAGGUAUUGGUGGAAAAGGAUGCCACUCCGGAUGUUGAGGAGGUCUACCAUCUCAAGGCCUCCUUUGCCAAGUUGGGAUGGGAAAACUUCUUUAACAUCCCCAACUUUUAUUAUGAGGAGCUUGUCCGAGAAUUCUACGCGAAUGCGGAGGACAAAAAGAUUUUUCAAUACGACAUGGAAGUGAUUACUAGUACAGUGCGAAGGAGAAAAGUUCGAGUCCAUAGAGCUGAUUUGGAAAGCUAUCUUCAUGUUUCAGAUGUGGGGCACAAGGUAGAUUUGAAGAAAGCCUUCAAACCCAUUGAUUUGGACUCUUGGAACAUGCUAGAGGCACUUGUACGCUUGGGGGUUGAGUAUAAAGCUACUAGGACGACGGGGCGAUAUUCUGUAUUGACUUCGUCAUUUUUGGAGUCGCAACGUCUUCUUAUUUACUUAUUUUCCUCCAACAUUAUUCCGAGGGCGAGUGGAACCAAUGAGGCACGCACAAGCGACAUCUAUUUCUUGGAUAAAAUGGAGCAUGGUUUAGGUAACAUCCAAGGCAUUCCAUUGGGAAGCAUUAUCACCAACCACAUGUGGACAGUGGUUCACAGUAACGAUAUCAAACAUGCUUUCCCAUAUCCUCGGUUUUUGACCUUGAAGUUUCAAAGGGCUUGAGUGGAUUUUUCUAACGGUAUCCCUACAGGUCUCAAGAAGAAGGAUGUCUUUACACUGGAUUUUUGCAGGUUCAUUCUGAAAAGUAAAGACGUAGGUGGUCCUUCGACUCAAGAAGGUGCUCAAGGAGACAUUCGGCACGAGGAGGAAGCUAAGAUUGAACGUAUUGAAGGAGCCCAAGAGGUUGACACAACCACCCCCCCCGGUUCUCAACUGAGCCGUCUUCCUCCCGUCGUCCAUCCUCACCUCAGGACACUCGGUCGUUUUUGAAGAAGAUAAUGGAUAAGCUGCUUUGCGUUGAGGCUGAGGUGAAGAAGAGCCGCCAAGAGAACAAACAGAACUCCGAGCGUCUUCGUCGCAUCGAGACCAAGCUGGGUAUUGAAGCUCCUCCGACUCCACCAUCUUCACCUGACCAAGUGACUACUUGAGGGAGUGCUCGUCACCUUGUGACAUUGCCACUAGUUUUUCUUUUAUUUUCUGUAGUAUUUGUGAUGUUUAAUUUUUAGUGGUUUUCAUUAUUUCUUUUGUGUGAACUAAUCCAAGUGAUCUUCAUCUAUGUUUUUAGACUUCUUAUGGUUGGAAAUUCGUCACUUGGCCAUGGAUUCUGAUUACGCAAGUUCAAUUGAGCAGUAUUUUCUUUCACUCUUUAUUUAUUUUCCUUUUCUCACAAUGAGGACAAUGUGAAGUUUAAGUGUGGGGGAGGAAAAUAUUGAACUUGCAUUUACUUGCUAGGUGAUGAUAUUUUGUGGAUAUAAAUGCUUAGAAAUAUUGGAAUUGUGUUUGAAUUAUUUGCCUUGUGGAUAAAUUGCUUGAAUUUGGGCAUGUUGGCAGAGAGUUUUGUCCAUUUAUAAGGGGAAACUCUAUCAAAAUUUUUCUAAAAUCUUUUCCAAUAUUUCAUUAUGGCCCAAAAAUUCUUUAAAUUUUUGCAUUCAAAAAGGGCCAAAGUAUUCCAACCUUAAGUGUCUAAUUCUUCCAAUUAUGGAAACUUUAUGUGAAUUUUGGAAGGUUUAGUCCUCAUUUAACUUGGAAAUAGUUAUUAUGCAAUUAGAAUUUUUACAUUUUAGAAAGUAUAUUUGGUAAAAUGAGGAAAAUUAUGCCUAUAAUUUUACAUGUUUAAUGAGAUUUCUUCUCUUUACUUAAUUUUGCAAGUAAGUGAUUGAUAUAGUCGAUAAAGGUUAUACUCCUCCUUUGAUUAUUCUUAUAUAUUUUCUAAGAGAGAAUAUCUAUUUGUUGUCCUUUUUUUUAAAAAAGAAAAAAAAACAAAGAGAGAAAAAAAAAGAGAAAAUGAAGUGAAUAAAAAUUGUUCUACUCCAAUGAUUCUCGUACCAAGUAACCGGGGUUGGUAUCCACAAAUGUCGACAUUUGCGUAAAAAGGUACUUGAAUUAAGAGUAUGCAAAGCAACUUGAAUAGGUGAAAUGUUGAGUAACCGGGGAUCUUCACCUAAAAGUGUCGAUUUUCGCGUAAAAAGACAUUUUCACUAUUUAAGUAAAAUUAAUAUGAAUAAAUCCCUCUUAGUUAUAGAAUUUUGAGAAAAAAGAUGAUUAUAGGAGGAGGAAGGCUAUAAAUUGACUAUGUGAUUUGCUUAUUUGUAAAAUUAAGUUAGAGUAAGAGAUUAAGUUUAACUUGUUGAAUUUAGGGUAUAAUUAUCUUUCCUUUAUUUGAUAUUAUGAGUGAUAAGAGUAUAUUUUACGUAUUUUUAGUGUGCUUUAUUGGUUAGUUUUGGUGUGUUUUAUUUAAUUUUAUAAAUAAUUAACUAAGAUUCUAGUGAAAAUAUGCAUUUUGUAGUUUAAAGUGUGAAAAGUGGAUUUCUAUGAAUUUUUAUGAUAAAAAUUUCAUAUUUUACAGGUUUAUUGAUUCAAUCAUCAAAUGGAGUGCAUUGAGAAUAUAAUUUGAUGAUUGAUGAUGGAUUAAAAUGAUAAAAAUAGAAUAUGAAGUGUGAAAGAAGAAAUGCAAUUAAAGUCAAAAGGAAGCAAGAUGUUCAUCUUUGACACGUUUUUGUAUUUUGGCUAUAUCUUGAGCUACAUACAUUGGAUUGAGAUGAUUCUUGAAUCAUUUUUGAAGCUAAGAGACAGAUCUACAUUUGGUAUGAAAGACAUCAAAGUCCAAUUCGGCUGUUUUCCUGGUCAAAAUGUCAAAAUACAGAAGUAAAAGUCUGCUGCUGAGAGCUGAAAAUGCGGAAUUGACCAGUCAGUGGUAUUUUUAUCAUAUCUUGGUUCUCAGAACUCCAAAUUGGAUGAUUCUUGAAGCAUUCGACAGCUAUUUCAAUGGACUACAACUUCGAUGUUGCACAAGAGCCAAUUCAGCCACCAUCAUAGAGAAAAUAGCAGUUGAAGUAGCUAGAUUCUGGUCAGAAAUAGCUGCUCUCCACUGGUACAACCUGUUUUCUCCUUCAAUAAAUUACAGCUAUGAAUGAAUGUAUGACAAGCAAUUAGCAGCUGUAAAAGAGAUGUUUCAACCCUCAUUUCCUGACUGCAUUCAUCUAUAUAUAGCCAUGGACUUGCAAGAUUCAGAAUAACUUGGGAGAAGGCUAGAGAAACUUACCAGAAAUGUAGUUUUCACUAGAGUUUCUUUGGUUCAUUAGUAUAGUAUAGGUAGAGUAGUUUAUCCAUCUUGUAUUUGUAGUUAGAUUUGGAUGAAGAUUGGAGGAGCAAAGAUGAAGAGGUUGAUCUCAUGUGACAAGGGUGAUAUCUCUUCUACUACUUUCUCUCUUGUAUUGGAUUUCAUGUUUAAUUAUAAUACAAGUUGGCUUUGUGUUUUUAUUAUGUUUAGUUAAAGUUUAUGCCUAGAGUUAUGGUUGAACUUGCUAUAUUUUGUUUGUGAUGUUUACUUGUCUACUUGGUAAUAUUAUUUUGAGCAAGUUAUUUAUCACUUUUGGUUAUCUAAUCAUGAUUAACUGGCCAUUAAUUAUGAUAAUCUUAAGGUGUUAAGUUUGCAAUGAAAAUUGGAAUUUAACACUAGUUCAAAGAAGUGAUAAGCCUAGGGAGUACACUCACAAAAGUAGAGAUGCACCUAUGUGGCUUAAGUGACUUGUUUCAUGUAAUUUCAUAGAAGAAAUGAACUUGUAGUUAAUUUCAUAACCACAAGAGUAGGUAUGGCUUAAUUACAAGUAUAGUUGAUUCACUACGAAAGUUGGUUUCACAUACAUUAGGAAAUUACGCCAUAACUAGUCAAGAUAAUAGCAUUCACUUAACCGGUAAUCUCAUUUGCAAGAGUAGUAAGAAAUUUGAUAUCUCUAGGAGCUUUCUAGUGUUAUUUUCAUUAAUUUGUGGUAGUCUAAAUAAUAAAGGAGUUUGAAAACAUCGGUAAUUGCAUUCUUCCCUGUGGGAUCGACGCUUAAUACCCUAUACUCGCUCACGAUUCGUAUACUUGCGAUAAAUCGCGUGUGGGGUAUUUAGGAAUUUAUAAAUGUAAAACAUUAUUGGGAUGAUCUUAAUAUCAUAUGUAUACCCCGCGCACGACAAUGAGUAUAUAGUGUAAUUUGAACAAUGAUAUAAUGAUUAUUUUCCAAGUCUUGCGGAAUUAAAUUGGACAAAGUGCAUAUAUUGUUUCACCUCUUGAAUCAUUGUGGUUGAUUAUGUGUGGAUUGUUUGAGGACAAGUAAUGAUUCAGGUGUAGGGGAGUUUGAUAAGUGGGUAAUUUACGUAAUAAUUGUAUGAUAUUUUAUAUUCUUUUUAGUCACUUUAGUUAUAUUAUUGGAAGAAAAUGAAUCAUUUUGGCUAUAAUUGGGGAAAAAUGCUUUUAAGUGAUUAAAUGAGGUUUUUAUCACUUUUUAAUGGGAUUUUGUGUAUUUUGACAGUUUUGACACAUUUUCGUAUUUCGGCUAUAACUUGAGUUACAGUGAUCAUAUUGAGACAUUCUUGAACCAAUUUGAAGAUAAGAGAUAGAUCUACAACUUUGGUGAAGACAUCUGAAUCCAGUUUGAUGGUUUUCCAGGUCAAAAAGCCGAAUUACAGUAGCUAAUUUCUAUUGGUCGAAGCUGAAAUAGGGCAGUGAGCAGUCAAGGGUAUUUCGGUCAUUUAUCAGGCCAUACAGAUCCAAAUGAGGUGAUUCUUGAUGCAUUAGAAAGAUAACUCAAAGGGCUACAAGUUUCAUGUUUUGGUCAAGAGCUAAAUCAGCUUUUAUCAUCAAGAAAAGUUCAGUAGAAAUUGAUGCAAAAUCGGAGCAGAGCUGGAAAUUGAACCAGAAGUGACCAAAUUGUCACUAUAGCAAUCUGGCUGGAAUUUGGACGGAUUUGUGGCCGGAUUUUUGGCCAGAUUGAGGUCAGAGAAGGCUGCUAUGUACGCGUAAAACUCAAUUUCACCUCCACCAACUCACAUGUGAUGCUAGACAUGUGAGAAACAUUCCCAACUGUAAAAGGGAGGUGUAAACCUCAAGUCUUGACCAAUCUUUCAUCUUUAUAUAGCAAAUUUCAUUGCAAGAUUGGAGGAAUAUAGGGAGAUACGGGAGAAGCUUGGAGUGCAGAGAUGUAGCUCUUGCAUUUUCUGAGUAAUAGCAGUAGGUUAGUAUAGAGUAGAGUGUUAUCCAUUCUUGUUUAUUAGCUAGGCAAAGAUGAAGAUGGAGGAUGAAGAAGGCAAGGAGAUGAACUCAUGUGACAAGGGUUACAUUCCUUUCCAACUUUUUAUCUUUUGUACUUGAUUCCAAGUUUAGUUAAUAUAAAAGUUUUGGAUUUUGUGUUCAAUAUGUGUCUCUAAAGUUUAUGCCUUGGGUUUUGUUGAACUUUCUAUAAUUGUUAGUGUUUAUUAUUUGGUUAUUUGAUUGCUAUGAUUUGAACAAGUUAUUUAGCAUUUUGGCUCUUUAAAUCAUGAUUAAUCUGGUACCAUUGAUUGUGAUUAUCUAAGGUGUUGUUUCUGCAAUGAAAAUUGAGAUUUAACACUAGUUCAAGAAGUGCUAAACAUAGGGAGUACACUCACGAAAGUAGAGGUGCACCUGUGUGGUUUUUAGUGAUUCAUUUCAUGUAAUUUCACUGAAGAAAUGAACUUGUAGCUAAUUUCAUAACCAUGAGAAUAGGUAUGGAUUAAUUAUAAAUAUAAUUGAUUCACUACGAAAGUAGGAUUCAAAUGCAUAAGGAAAUUACACCAUAACUAGCCUGGAUGUAGUACUAAAUGAUCCAAAUAUAGCACUUGCAUGAGUAGUUAGACAUACCACAACCUAAGGAGCUUUUAUUUGUUAUUUUGUAUAAUUCUAAUAGGUUAAAUUUGUUAGAAUUCAUUGAUAGUGUAAAUAAUAGAGAAACUUUAGUAAUACCAGUAAUUGUUUACUCUUCUCUGUGGGAUCGACCUGAUAUAUACCCUAAACUACUAGUUGACCUGUAUACUUGCAGUGAACAGAUAUAAUUCGGUUUUUUAACUUGUACGUAUAUGUAAAAUACCCGUCACUUCCCAUCAACAAUCAUAACAUAAAAAAUGACAUUUUCAAAGGGAUCGUAGGGUGCCAAACCUUAGAGAACACCAUCGACGUGUUACAGACCUGUCGAACCUCCCGAAAAGCUGAUGUCAAUGUGAAGUUUCCAGAUGACGUGUGCUUCCAAAUGACUUCAUCUGCACAUUCACCUUCAGGGAUCAGGAACUUUAAGAUUGAGGAAACAAUAUCUCUUGGCAAGGUUUGAGAUAAAAGAUUGACAUCCCAAUGCCCGUUGAUAAUGAAAUUGCGAAAUGAUAAGUUUGGGACAACUGGUGCUCUAAGAAAUAAUACACCAGUGGCCAACCAAUUGUCAUACCAAAAGUGACACGAACCGUCAUGGAUUAACCAAACCAUAGGUAGCUCCACUUGGUGGCUCACGUUUAACAUUCUUCGCCAGACUGCCGAGUUUGUUAACCUUAAUAAUACCUGACAAGGGUGUGACGACCCCACCUCUCCCUAAGGCGUACCAAAGGGUUCGGCGGACCGCCUGCCCAGCUCUCGCCAGGACUCACUCACUAUCUCAAUCGAAUCAUAAAUACACAACCAUGCACCAUAAAUAAUAUUCACGAUUCAGACUUAUAAUUUACAUUGAUAGGAAUCGAGUUUCAAAGUCUUAAUACACCAAACUAGUUCAAAUCGUAUACAAUCCAAGUACAACAUGUUUCGUUCGAGGAAUAGCGCGAGUACAAGACCAAAAAGUCAAAAGUCAAAACAAACGGCUACACUAGUCUUUUACAAGUCUCUCGCGUCACCCGUACCCCUGUAAGGAAAACAAACUAACGGGGUGAGCCAAAGCUCAGUGAAGUUCCCAAAUAUCAAAUUGGUCAGCAACCAAGUUAUAGCAAAAUAAAAGUGAAAUGGCGAGCAAACAAGUCAAAUCAAGGAAAUAGUACUUCAGCUAGUCAAGUAGUAUUAGAUGCACAUUCACAUAUAAGGAUACGGUAUUCAUGUUACGGCUCCAUUCCAGCUUGGUCAAGUGGUAGUCGACACUCCGUCAACUUUCAAGUAAUUCCAAGUCCAAAUAAACUCCGCUACACGCCAAUUUCCGUCCACCGAUCAACCCCCUAUUCCGGGCCCGCACGCCAUACGAAACAUGGGUGGUAAUACUCGAGUAUACCGUUAGUCGAGGAGAUAACACUCCACUCGACAUUACAAGUGACCCAGGGUUUGUUAUCUAAUCGACCAGGCCCUUGCCGGCUCGACUCGAUUAACUAGCCACAGAGUUUCUGGAAUUCCAGGCAAGAUACAAUUCAAGUACAUGUACAACAAGUCAAGUAUGAUCAAUAGCAAGAACAGGUCAUAUUAGGGCAAGUGCGAUAAAGUACACCCUUGCCCUUUCAUUCAUUGUCAUGUAAUCACGCAAGUCAAGUAGGGAGUACACAUAUCAAGUACAAUCGGAUAUUUGGAAGCACUCACCACAAUAGUGCUUCUAGUUUUCGCGUCGAGGUGGUACUCCGGGUUGGGAGUCCAAAUCUGCGAUAAAACUUUACUUGAGAACUUUGAAAUCAACCAAGGUUCGAAACUUAAGCGUUUCGUUCGAUAAGAAUCAAGAAAUUGAAAUUCACUUGAGAAGAGUCGUGAAAUAGUUGCUCGCUCUUUAAACUGGAAAAUUUGAUAACAUUUUUGCUUGAAUAUGACUCUUGAGUCAAAAGUGCAAGUAAAACGGUUUCGUAGUGAUUCAUAUCGUUUUCCUAAGGGUACAAGUUUGGCCAAGUCCUAACAUAUAACCCUCGAUAAACAAGUGGCAAAGGUCCUCGAUAGUUCAAGUGAUAAUCACUUAACCUUCACUCAAGUCGCAAAGAUAGUUUUCUAGACCUCGAGUAAAAAUUUGGGCAGCAUGCCCUUUGUGUUUACCUAAUUUCCAGCCAUUUAGGCUUCAAUAUUUUCCUUCAACAACAUCCCAACAUCAUACAAAUAAGAAAUUUAUGUCAAGAGCCGUUCUAUAGGCUCACAAUAUUAUAACAACAAGAAUCGCCUCAAGUACAAGUGCAGAAAUUCAAUGUGGCACAAGACAGAUUUGACGUACAAAUGCGGUAAUAACACAUCCGAGGCUACGCUUAUCGGAUUAAGACGAAACCUGUGCCCUUUCGAAGCUAAGACACAAAGCUACAACAUUCAUGAAGGUCACUUAGUCCAUUUCCUAAUGUAACUUAGUCAAAAUCUCAGAUUACUAAACCAGAAACCAAUUCACCGGCAGUUUAAACGCAUUAUGCUGUAACGGACCUAACUCAGUGUACACAAGUCCGAAUCAGGUUUUCUUUGAGGCAUUUUAAAGCUACUUCAGAACACUACAAGUUUUAUGUUUUGGCCCAGAGCUAAAUCAGAAUGGAUCCUGGUCAAAAAUCGUGAUAAACUGGACUGAACUGAAGAAACGGACUGCUGGGAAAUUCUUAAAACAGUAGGGGUAUUUUGGACUUUUCACGUUCUGCGUUGCUCCGAUUGAGCUGAAAUUUUAUAGGCACCUAUAAAACACCAUUCUCUACAACGUUUCUUCUUUGACCAAAGGCCAAUUCGGCCUCUAACAUAUAGGUACAAUUUCGGACAGAAUGCUUGGGAAAUUUUCCAGAAAUCUGGAAUUUUUAGCUCUAAGUGUAAUUUCCUCAAAUUUCUGGUUCUAAUCACCACUAAACAACCUUAUAUAACCUUAAUUACAACAUUCAUGCAUCAUACAUCACAUUGAGCAGAAAAUCAGAAACCCUAGUUCAUCAAAUAAAUUGGGGAAAACCUCUAAAUCAUGCUAAUCAUCCAUAAUCUCACCACUAUAAUCACCUACUAAACUUAAUUUAACAAGAUUAGAUGUAAAACUUGGAGAGAUAAACUCUCUUACCUUGAAUAAAAGUCACCAAGAGUAGCACAAGCUCUCCCCUUCAAGAAUCACACCACCACUCACUAGCUAGUCACUAGAAAGCAAGUUUAAUCGGUUUACUUCGCUCGAUUCCUCACUUAUUUGUUGGAUUUGGAGAUGAAAUGAAAGAUUUCCCUUGGAGUUUUUCCUCCUUGAUGCUCUCGGCCAGCUCCAGCAGAAAUGAGGAAGAAUUGGCUAAGUGUUGAGGUUAUAUGGAUGGUAAUGGUCUUGGGUAAGAAGCCAUGAGGUGGUGACACUUGUCACCACCACCACCCUUUCUUUUUCUCUUUCUUUCUUGCCUUUCUUAGCCACCAAUUUUCAGUCAACAUGCUGCCAAGAGAGAAGAUAUUAUGUGCAAAAGUCAACAACUUGUUGGGUAAGAAAAAUGGUGGUCAAGCGGUGCGUUCAAUCGGUAAUGCGCGGGACCCGCCGGUUCGCGCCGUUUUUCUUAAAAACUCACGUACUAGGGUUUUUACCUCCCAUUCACUAACCUUAUAUCAUUGCUACUACUUACAUAUUAUUUCUCACUUAAAAGUCACUUUUAAUCAUCAAAUUGAUCCUCGGCCAGUACCGAAAAUUCAUCCGGCGAAAAAAUCGAAAAACCCUAAUUUUGCUCAAAACUUGAAACCAAAGCGUAAAACCUUAUUUUCUAGGUUUAUUUACACUUAGUGUGAAAUAAUGAGGUAGGGGGCCUUAAUAAAUAAUAAUUUUCAAAUAAAAGGCAUUUUUGAGGAAAAAUGUAGGAAAUUUGCGGGUCCUCACAUCCUCUCCCCCUUAAAAGAAUUUCGACCUCGAAAUUCAUACCUUUUGUCGCGAACAGGCCAGGAUACUUUUCUUGCAUAUCCGUUUCUAGCUCCCAAGUUGCUUCUUCCACUUCAUGAUGCUUCCAUAGUACCUUUACUAAAGGAAUCUGCUUGUUUCUCAAGUCCUUCACCUUCCUAUCCAGUAUUUGAAUAGGUCGUUAUUCAUAGGUUAAAGACUCGUCAAGUUCAACAUCUUCGGGUGGAAAAAUGUGAGUCGGAUCCGGAUGGUAUUUCUUAAGCAAAGAAACGUGGAAAACGUCAUGGAUCCUAGAUAAGCUAGCGGGUAACUCAAGUCGAUAAGCCACCUUUCCUAUUCGCUGCAGCAUCUUGAAAGGUCCUAUAUAUCGUGGUUGCAACUUUUUCCCUUUUCCGGAUCUAAUCUUUCCCUUUAAUGAUGUGAUCCGAAGAAACACCUUAUCUCCUAUUUCAAACUCCAAGUCUUUCCUCCUAUGAUCGGCAUAGCUUUUCUGACGGCUUUGGGCGGUUUGAAGUCUCUGGCGGAUCACUCUCACCUUUUCAUAGGCUUCCUCAACCCAUGGUAUAGUAGCCGGAUCUAUGACUUUUCUCUCCCCUACUUCAUCCCAAUGGAUUGGAGAUCGACAUCGUCGUCCGUACAAAGCUUCAUAUGGAGCCAUUUGAAUAGAGGAAUGAUAACUAUUGUUAUACGCGAAUUCAACCAAAGUCAAGUAUUGGCUCCAACUUCCUUUAAAAUCCACAAUACAGGCUCUCAGCAUAUCCUCAAGAGUUUGAAUAGUUCUCUCAGAUUGUCCAUCAGUUUGCGGGUGAUACGCUGUGCUAUAACUCAGCUUAGUUCCUAGAGCCUCUUGUAAUUUCUGCCAGAAUCGGGAUACAAACCUAGGGUCUCUAUCAGAUACAAUGCUUACUGGUACCAUGUAGUCUCACUACCUCAUCCAUAUAAAGUUUAGCAAGUUUCUCCAAGGAAUAUUUCAUGUUCACCGGCAGAAAAUGUGCAGUCUUAGUUAAUCUAUCCACUAUCACCCAAAUUGCAUCAUGCCCCUUUUGUGUUCGUGGCAAUCCUGACACAAAAUCCAUCGUUAUGUGCUCCCACUUCCACUCAGGGAUCUCUAAAGACUGUAACAAACCUGACGGCUUUUGAUGCUCAGCUUUCACCUGUUGGCACGUAAGACAUUUUUGCACAAACUGGGCAAUCUCCGCCUUCAUUUUCUCCCACCAAUACAGAUUCCUAAGAUCUUGGUACAUUUUAUUAUUCCCUGGGUGCACCGUAUACCUAGAGCAAUGUGAUUCCUCUAAAAUCUCCCUUUUCAAUUCCUCAUCCCUAGGUACCACGACACGAUUUCGAAACUUUAAAAUUCCAUCAGGGCUUAGAUUAAAAUUAGGUAACUCCCCUUUCUUCACUCUCUCUACCCACUUCUGCACUAUUGGAUCCUUCACUUGGCCCUCUUUGAUUCGUUCCAUCAAUGCCGAUUUCGCCUCAAUAUUUCCAAAAACCACCUUUUCCGGUUCCAAACGAGGUUUCCACUCACAUACAUCUUCCAAUAGGCUCCACUCUCUCACUAUAGAACUUGCUAGUUGAGCCUUCCGGCUUAAAGCAUCUGCUACAACGUUGGCCUUUCCAGGAUGAUAGUUAAUUGUACAAUCAUAAUCCUCUAAGAACUCUACCCACCGACGUUGUCUUAGAUUUAACUCCUUCUGAGAAAACAGAUACUUAAGGCUCUUAUGAUCCGUAUAAACCUCGAAAGUUACACCAUAGAGAUAAUGUCGCCAUUUCUUCAAAGCGAACACUACAGCUGCAAGUUCCAAGUCAUGGGUCGGGUAAUUUUGCUCAUGAGUUUUUAACUUUCGGGAUGCGUAGGCAAUCACUUUCCUAUUCUGCAUCAACACGCACCCUAGCCCUUCUUUUGAAGCAUCGGUAUAAACCGUAUAACUAUCCUUUCCACUGGGCAAAGCUAAAACUGGAGCCAUAGUCAAUUGUUUCUUAAGUUCUUGAAAACCAUUUUCACACUUAACGUCCCAAAUAUACUUUCCUUGUUUCUUGGUCAGGUUAGUCAAGGGUCCUGCAAUCCUCGAGAAAUUCUUUAUAAAUCUGCGGUAGUAUCCUGCUAGACCUAGAAAACUUCGCACCUCGGUGGGAUUUUCUGGCCGUUUCCAUUUAGCCACAGCUUCCACUUUCGCCGGGUCUACAGCAAGGCCAUCUUUCGAAAUUAUAUGACCUAAAAACGCCACCUCUUCCAACCAAAAUUCACACUUACUGAACUUAGCAAACAGUUGGUGCUCUCUUAGGGUUUGCAAUACUAUCCGCAAAUGUUGUUCAUGCUCCUCCCUUGACCUCGAAUACACCAAGAUAUCAUCAAUGAACACCACUACAAACCUAUCCAAGUAAGGUUUGAACACUCGAUGCAUCAUGUCCAUGAAUGCUGCCGGGGCAUUGGUUAAACCAAAAGGCAUCACAGCGAACUCAAAAUGCCCAUAUCGAGUGUUAAAUGCCGUUUUUGGCACAUCCUCCUUUCUAAUUCUCAACUGAUAGUACCCUUGUCGCAGAUCCAACUUGGAAAACACUACAGCCCCUUGUAAUUGAUCAAAUAACUCAUCUAUGUGGGGCAAGGGAUAUUUAUUCUUAAUGGUUACUGCAUUCAAUCCUCGAUAGUCAAUGCACAACCUUAAACUCCCGUCCUUUUUCUUAACAAAUAGAACUGGAGCUCCCCAUGGAGACUCGCUCUCAUGAAUAAACCCUCGUUCUAGCAAGUCUUGCAGUUGCACCUUCAACUCCUUGAGCUCAGCGGGUGCCAUACGAUAAGGAGUUUUAGAGAUGGGAGUGGUUCCGGGUACUAAAUCAACCUUAAAUUCAAUCUCCCUUUCGGGUGGCAAAGACUCCAAUUCUUCCGGAAAUACGUCCGGGUAUUCACUGAUUACUGGCAUGUCUUCCAACUUAGUCUUUUCUCCCGGAGUGUUAAUUAGAAAAGCUAGGUAACCGCGAGCCCCACGACUAAGCAACUUCCUAGCCCUUAUACCCGAAAUAAGUGCAGAAGAGGCUAUCAUACCCCUCACAUCAAGCUUUAGAGUUGCCUCCCCUGGUAUACAAAAUUCGACCACUUUCAUCUUACAAUCUACUCGAGCAUGAUAGUGAGCUAGCCAAUCCAUACCUAGGAUAACAUCAUACCCCUUAAUGGCUAGACUAAUGAGGUCCACUACCAAUUUCCGUUCGCCAAUCCAAAUAUCACAACUCCUAUACACCUCAUUCGCAAGCAAAGUUUGAUUACCUGUAGGUGUUCUUACCUCUAAGUCAUAAGGUAACCUUUCAACUUUCGAGUCAAUUCCAAGCAUAAAUGCAGGAUUAACAAAAGAGUGAGUAGCACCGGGGUCUAUUAAAAUUCUAGCUAACCGGUGAAAAACAGGGAUUGUACCUUCUACCACCUUGGUUGGUUCAAGCACAGUUGUUUGAUCUAGCGAGUACACUCUGGCCGGUACCCUCGACCUAGCCCCUCCAGCAGUAGUCGGCUUUGGGUUUGACCUGGCAGUCGACUGAGUGUCACUGAUUAGCGGACAGUUGACCAUCUGAUGAUCCGCACUUCCGCACCUCAAGCACUUCCGAGCCUUUCUCCAGCACUCGUCUUCAGUGUGGUUCAAUUUUCCACAAUACCCACAUGUCACUCGGGGAGUGGAGGUUUGACCUCCCUGAGUAAAACCUCUACCUUGACCUCUACCGCCCUGGCCUCCCCUCUGGGCAUUCCCUCUCGGAGCACUGCCCCUAAACGUGUUCGAAAAUCGUCCACUUCCAGCUCCACGACCGGAUUUAGCGGGUGGCAUGCUCCGCUCGCCUCGUACCGACCCUUGGGCUCCACUAGGUGCCCCUUUCCGCUUAGCGUGGAAAUUCCUUACUUGCGUCCUAGCAGUUUCUAUCCUUAAAGCCUUCUCCAGAACCUCCGUGAAAGUAUUGAUUUGGACCGCUGCUAAGGCUUCUUGCAAUUCCACAUUUAACCCUUGUAUAAACCUUCGUACUUUCCUUGGUUCCGUAGCAAUCAAUUCGGGAGCGAAUUUAGACAAUUUGGUAAACUGAGUCUCAUACUCAGUUACACUCAUCAGUCCCUGACGGAGUUUAAUGAAUUCGUCCUCUCUCUUCUCCUGGACGAUGGGUGGAAAGUAUUUUUCGUUGAAGUCCCGUACAAAGUUUAGCCAAGUCCAGGCAGUUUCCUCUCUCUCCCACUUGGCCCUCACUACAUUCCACCAAGCCCUAGCUGGCCCUUCAAAUUGGAAUACGGCAAAUUGGACUUGUCUCUCCUCAGUGUAGUUUAGGGCAGCAAAGAUAUUUACCAUGGUCUCCAGCCAUUUCUCAGCUUCAUACGGGUCUGGUCCUCCUAAGAAUUUGGGUGGAGAGAACUUCUGGAAUCUCUCCAAGGCUCUAUCUUGCCCCGAAUCAGGGUCUCUAGGUUGAUUUACAGACCCUUGACCCUGUUGCUCCACCAACCGAGUCAAAAUAUUAGUCAUCUGUUGGAUGGCAGUGGCCACCUGAUCUCCCCCGGCAGUCUGGGGUUCAGGUUGCUGUUCAACCGCUGCCUCCCUCUCCUCUAUCGGUUCAGGCACCGGUUCCUGUACUUGCUCACCCUCACGGCCUCGCCUGGAACCGCGUUCUCGAUUAGUUUUCUUGGUCCGACUCCUUUUAUCCUCCAUGUUUGAGAGUCAACCAACUAGAACAUAUAAACGGGGUAAGGUACGACUCAUAUAUCGCGUUGCAACAAUAUAACUAGAGGCAAAUAAACACGUAAGAAACAAGCACUUUAUUUACAUAUCAAACAAGUCGUAUAUACAGGCCAACAAGUCACGUAGUCAAAGGCUAUAACAGCCAAGGAACAUAGAACAAAAGAUAUUUAUAUCCACCAGGACACGUCUAAAACAAAAACAAAAGAAGACAUGUCGUCCCACUAUGUUCCUAACUAGCCCACAAAACCUCCUAAAACCCCGAUCCUAACAAGUGGUCUGGCUAGACGCCGACCCAACUGACUCCAAGGACGCGCUCGGCUCCUCCUCCAUGUCCUCCUCAGGAUCCUCCUCUGGAUCCUCCUCAGGGGCACCGGGAGCGGCAGGAGCUACAGGCGCUUGGCCUUCCUCGGCCAAGUCCUGGAUCACGUCCUCAACAAGUGCCUCGCACUUGGUCAGGAUGUGGUCAGUCCGGUCUCGUAUAUGGCCAACUAUGUGCAUCAAACGUCCAGUCACCGCAUGAGCCUGAUCACGGUAAGCAUCUGACUGCUGCUGCUCUGCCAGAACCGCGGCCUCCAACUCUCGUAUCCGAGCUCCCUGAUCUCGGAGAGUGGCCUGGAGACGCUCUAUCUCCGCAAAGCACCUACGAUUGGUGCUACCCAAUCGUCUCCGAUCGUCAUCUAUAGCAAGCACUACUCGGUCAGGGUAAGAGUAGGUCUUCCAGCAAUCGCAGCGCCGGAUCUUGCGCGCUGGGGACCACCGCUGCACUGGCCCGCCGGGAACCUCCUGGUAUGUGAUCACGCGACAUACAGGGCCCGCUAGAUAUGGCUCGACCACGAAAGCGUCAGUAGGUGCGUCAGUAGGUGUAACGACCCCAUUUUCCCCUAAGGCGAACCAGAGGGGUCAACGGGCCGCCUGCCCAGCUCUCGCUAGGACUCAGUCAUUCCCUACAGUCCUCGAAUGAAUUACAAGAUAAAACUCAACUUUUACAUCAUAUUCUCCAAAAUUUACAUAUCACAAUCGAAGCGGAAACUAGUUCUAAGCGAAAAAUGUAGAUUUACAUCCGAUUCAAUUCCAAAUAUUUAUACAAGCCCAAAAGUACAUAAAUCAAAACCAAAACUAAACUAUACAAGAUGUACGCCAUCCAGUCACACAAAGAUCCAAAUACAAGGUCUUCCUUUACCUCGAUCCCUGUGGGGAGAAGAAGAUAAUAGGGGGUGAGCUAGAAGCUCAGCGAGUGACCAGUAAAAUCAACAGCCAAGUAUAUUUCACAAUAAAGCAUUAAUAUGAUGUCAUGAUGCAGUAAUCAAAUGUUCAUUUAUUACUCAUGUGAGCCAGUGAAGUUCUUGUACUUAAAUAUCCAAUGCUCGUUUAGAUCAUGUAACCAUGAAACAGAAGUAAGGAGCCAUCGUGCUCCAAAGAACGUGUAAACAAUAGUGGAGACAUUGGUUCUAAGCACAAGACUUUCCAGGAACUCAUUGGAGCCAAAUUAUGUCAUGGCACACACUCGAACCCCCAAAUGAUAUGCAAUGGAGUAAUAAAUGCAAGAAUUAGUUCAAAAGUAACUUUGGGACAGUCGAGGGAUCACUCACACAAAAUAUAGUGCUUCAAGUAUUCACGUUCAACUAUACUCCAGGUUUGAAGUCCAGCUCUGCGAUGAAAAUCCAAUUUGAGAACUUGAAACACGAGUAAGAUUCGAAACUUAAACGUUCCGUUCAUUAAGAAUCAACCAAUUGAAAUUCAUUUGAAAGGCAUUCGUGAAACACUUGCUCGCUUUUCAAAUCAUAAGGUUUUGUAGUAUAGAUACUUGGAAAUAACACUUGAGUUGAAAGUACAGGGAAAUACAAGUUUACAUUGGCCAUUAUGUCUUUUCCUCAAGGGUACAAGUUCGGCCAAGUCCUAAUGUAUAACCCUCGAUAAACAAAGUAGCAAAGGUGCUUGCUAGUUCAAGUAAUAAUCACUUAACUUUACACAAGUUACAAGUCUCGUUUCCUAGUCCUCGAGUAUAAAUUCGGGCAGCAUGCCCUUUGUGUUUACCUAAUUUUCCAGCCUUUUAGGCUUCAUUGUUUUUCUCAAACACAACCCAACAUCAUACAUAUCAGCAAUUUAUGUCAAGAGCCGUUCCAUAGGCUCACAAUAUCAUAAUAACAAGAAUCGCAUUAAGUACAAGUGCAGAAAUUCAAUUUAGUUCAAGACAGAUUUGACGUACAAAUGCGGAAAUAACAUAUCCGAGGCUACACUUAUCGGAUUAAAACGAAACCUACGCCGUUUCGAAGCUAAGACACAGAGCUACAACAUUCAUGAAGGUCACUUAGUCCAGUUCCUAAUGUAACUUAGUCAAAUUCUCGAAUUACUAAACCAGAAACCAAUUCGUCGGCUGUUUAAAUGCAGAACACUGUAAUGGACAUAACUCAGUGUACACAAGUCCGAAUCAGGUUUUCUUUGAGGCAUUUUAAAGCUACUUCAUAACACUACAACUUUUAUGUUUUGGCCCAGAGCUAAAUCAGAAUGGAUCCUGGUCAAAAAUCGUGAUAAACUGGACUGAACUGAAGAAACGGACUGCUGGGAAAUUCUUAAAACAGUAGGGGUAUUUUGGACUUUUCACGUUCUGCGUUGCUCCGAUUGAGCUGAAAUUUUAUAGGCACCUAUAAAACAUCAUUUCCUACAACUUUCCUUCUUUGACCCAAGGCCAAUUCGGCCUCUAACACAUAGAUACAAAUUCGGACAGAAAUGAUCAAGAAUUUUCCAGAAAUCUGAAAUUUGUAGUUUCUAGUGAAAUUUUCCCUAAUUUCUCACUCCAAUCACUCCCAAAACACCUUAUAAAACCUCAAUGGUAACAUACAAGUAUCACACAUCAAGUUGGGCAGAAAUUCCACAGCCCUAGUUCAUCAAUUAAAUUGGGGAAAAACUUCUACACAUGCUAGCAUCCAUGAAUCCACCACCAAUCAAGCUACUAAGCUCACUUUAACCAUGAUUGAAAGAGAAAGUUAGAGAGAUAUCAUCCUCUUACCUUGAUUUGAGUUCUCCAAGUAUAGCCCCAAGCUUUCUCUUUCCAAAUUUUCACCACCAAUCACUAGAUAAUCACUCAAGAGUAGGUUUAAUCGGUUUACUUUGUUUGAUUUCGCACUUUGUUGGUGGAUUGAAGAAGAAAUGGAGAAGAGUUUUGUUUUUCCUCUCUUGUUCUUACUCUCUCUCUCUCUCGGCUCUUAGCAGCAGAAAAUGAAGAGAAAAUGCUAAGUAUUGGAGUUAAAUGGAUGGAGUUUGUCUUGGGUAAGAAGCCAUGAGGUGGUGACAAGUGUCACCACCACCACCCUUUCUUUUUCUCUUUCCUUCUUGCCUUUCUUAGCCACCAAUUUUCGGUCAACAUGCUGCCAAGAGAGAAGAUAUUAUGUGCAAAAGUCAACAACUUGUUGGGUAAGAAAAAUGGUGGUCAAGCGGUGCGUUCAAUCGGUAAUGCGUGGGACCCGCCGGUUCGCGCCGUUUUUCUUAAAAACUCACGUACUAGGGUUUUUACUUCCCAUUCACUAACUUUAUUUCAUUUCCCUAAUCACAUAUUAUUUCUCACUUAAAAGUCACUUUUAUUCACCAAAUUUAAUCCUUGCUCCAUACCGAAAAUUCAUCCGGCGAGAAAAUCGAGAAAACCUAAUUUUGCUCAAUUUGAAACCGAAGUGAAAAAUCCUAUUUUCUAGGUUCAUUGGCACUUAUUGUGGGGUGAUUGAGUAGUAUGGCCAUUAUAAAGUGGUAUUUGUCAAAGAAAAGGGAAUUUUAAGAAAAAUAUAAGGAAUUUGCACGGCUUCUGGCCGGAUUUUCCCACAAAACUCUAUUCACCAGAAAUUUUUCCCUUUUCUUCUGCCUCGGGGCGUCACAAACUCCCCUCCUUAAAAGAAUGUCGUCCUCGACAUUCCAACUUGUACUAAUCAGAUUAAAAUAGUUCUCGAAAGUCGAUCACGUAUUAAGAAUCAUUUCAAUCUCGCUUAUCAUAAUCAAAUACUAAUCAGAUCAAGUAUCUAAAAGAUCAAUCACAUACUAAGAAUCACUCUAAUCUCACUUAUCGUAAUUCAUGAUCCAGUAAAGCAUGGCUUAUUAAAUAAUCACUUAUCAAAUUCAAGUACUAAAUAUCACACCGAUCCAACUUAUCCAAUAGUCAUGGUCCACUAGGGAGUUAAUCAAGUGAUUAGAUAACAGGCAAAAAGCUUGAGGUUGGACGUAAAGUCCCAGAUAUUCGGAAGAAAUGCAGGAUAUAGCGAAACUUUAGAUCAAAUAUUCAUCCUUGGUGGUGCUGGACAACACAACAAGCUAGCACAACGGCUAUGCUUCACCAAAGAAUUUCAGUUCAGUAAGUUGGCCCUGGCGGUGAUGGACAACACAACAAGCUAGCACAACGGCUAUGCUUCACCAAAAGCCUCAGUUCAAGUAUUUGUCCCUGGCGGUGCUGGACAACACAACAAGUUAGCACAUCGGCUAAACUUCGCCAGAGAACCUCAGUUCAUGUAUUCGUCCCUGGCGGUGCUGGACAACACAACAAGUUAGCACAUCGGCUAAACUUCGCCAGAGAACCUCAGUUCAUAAUUCCAUCUCUGGUGGUGAUGGACAACACAACAAGCUAGCACAACGGCUAUGCUUCACCAAAAGCCUCAGUUCAAGUAUUUGUCCCUGACGGUGCUGGACAACACAACAAGCUAGCACAUCGGCUAAACUUCGCCAGAGAACCUCAGUUCAUGUAUUCGUCCCUGACGGUGCUGGACAACACAACAAGUUAGCACAUCGGCUAAACUUCGCCAGAGAACCUCAGUUCAUAAUUCCAUCUCUGGUGGUGAUGGACAACACAACAGGCAUGCCUUGCCAGAAGAAUGGCGGUGCUGGACAACACAACAGGCAAUGCCCCACCAGAGAGGUUCAGUUCAACCGCUACAGAAGAGUAGUAGCCGGUCUACAACCAUAUGAGUACGAGUAAGUUCACGAGUAGGGUAACAGUAGAGUUCAAACGAAUAGGUUCAAAACAGAACGGAAUAUUUCAGGUUCAUGCAGCACGAAUAGAAAGAGGUUCAAAAGCAGGGUCAAAUGCUUUAGGUUCAUGGAGCACCAGUACAAUUAAGAACUCACUCGUCCAACUUAUGCCCAGCAAAUCACAUUCUUAAGCAGUCACAAGAUUCAAGUUCACAUUCCAUAUAUACAGCCAAAUUAGGUCCAUCAAGGUACGUAAGGCACACUAGCCUAAACAGGUUCAAGUCUCAAGUAAGCUCAGUCUAAUCGGUUUCAGGCAGUUCGAGUUCUCUUAUCAACCCAGUACAAUACUUUCGGGGUUCAAACUUCCUAAGGUUGUAAUAUUGGCACAGAACCAACCCUAACAUAUGUUGCGCACAAGAAAAUUUCACCAAGUUUCCGACUAGAUUAAUCCAUUAUACACUAGUAGAUCUGAUCUUCGGGUUUAUUUUCGAUUCAUAUUCAGUACUAGGGACCUAUUAAAUUGUAUGAAUCUGUCCAUCAAUUUCUCCCAUGAAUACGGAGUUGGCUAAACCCUCGGUCACAGCCCUUUACUCCUAGCCCUGCUACCAUACUUAAUAAAAAUCUGUAAGUACAGGAAAAGGAUUAACUAAGCAUGAAAGAACUUAACACGUAUACUAGUUGCAAAAACAUUUAAAAUCAGGUCAUGAUUUAUUACAUAUAUCAAAAGUUAUAACCUGAGUUAAAAGUCAUAAAAUAAGGCCAAUAUGUCGGAAUUUGUAUAUAAACACUUAGGUACCAUAAAAGAUAAAAGCAUAGGUAAGCUAGAUACAAAAGUCUCACGAUGUGGACCACCCUUCCUAGGUCUUCCACAUGGUCCAAUUAUUGCUCAUUUCAAUCAGAUUACAUGCCUUCACGACAUUAGAUCCAAGAAAUCCAUAACACAAGCCGAAGUCAAAGGUUAUCCAUGUCGAAGUUCAAAAUGCCAUCAUCUCCAAGAAUAACCAAUCUUAGGUUCUAUAGUACAGUCGCAAGUUCCAAGUUCAAACCCAAGAAAUGAAUACACUUGCUAACUAACGUGCCAAAUGGAACCCAAGUCAAUUCACACUAACUUCGUACUCUUGAAUACAGCCACUCUAUAUCUCAAAGUUGUCUCAAUCCGUACAUUUAAAAUUGGCUCACUCUUCUUGAAAGUCAAGAAUUUUAAAACAUAAGAUGAGUGUUUAAAGUAAUCAAAAUCUUAUCAAGUUCAGGAUUCACAUUAGUAAACAUAAGCUUGCCAUUCUCUCGAAAACUCAGGAUAUAUAUAUAUUUUUCUUCGUAUAAAGCAUGGACCAAUUCAAGUGUGAGAAUAUGCCGGUAUACAAUCAAGGGGAAAACUUAGUUUAGAAAUUGUUAUCCUGGUAUUAACCCAUCAUACACAAAAUUCAACAAGCUCAUCAGGUAUUCACAACUUUUCAAAUUUGAACUUCAAGUAAAACUCACAUUUUUACUAAAAUCGGCAAAUUACACAUACUUAAAGCAUAUAUAUCUUAUUUCCAAUCAUUGCAUACAAAUAAAACUAGUACAUCCUAGCUUUUCUUCAAAAUCCCAAAACAAAAUUUCUUUAGAAAGUAGGGGGCGAAAAUGCAUUUUAUUCCUUUGGUACUUUUAUCUUGGUUCAAAAUCAUUACUCAUAAAAUUUGACUAUCACAUCUCACCUUUUAUCCAUGGCCAUGGCCAGUACUAGGAAUCACCUCAAUUCCUUCCACACUUACAAACAUACUAGAAUUCAAAUUCGUCCAAUCUUUCACUAGUCAUCUAAUUCCUCAAUUUUUUUUUCUACAAGUCCCAAAUAAGGAAUUCUCAAACAGUAAAUUUCUUUGUACCACUAGGAUACAAUAGCUCCUCGUUCACAUAAUAUUCAAAUUACUCUCACAGCCAAACAUCCUAAACUUUAACUCUAGGAUACGCUACAGAGAUCUGGAACCUAAGCUCUGAUACCAAUUGUAACGACCCCAUUUUCCCCUAAGGCGAACCAGAGGGGUCAACGGGCCGCCUGCCCAGCUCUCGCCAGGACUCAGUCAUUCCCUACAGUCCUCGAAUGAAUUACAAGAUAAAACUCAACUUUUACAUCAUAUUCUCCAAAAUUUACAUAUCACAAUCGAAGCGGAAACUAGUUCUAAGCGAAAAAUGUAGAUUUACAUCCGAUUCAAUUCCAAAUAUUUAUACAAGCCCAAAAGUACAUAAACCAAAACCAAAACCAAAACUAAACUAUACAAGAUGUACGCCAUCCAGCCACACAAAGAUCCAAAUACAAGGUCUUCCUUUACCUCGAUCCCUGUGGGGAGAAGAAGAUAAUAGGGGGUGAGCUAGAAGCUCAGCGAGUGAGUAAAAUCAACAGCCAAGUAUAUUUCACAAUAAAGCAUUAAUAUGAUGUCAUGAUGCAGUAAUCAAAUGUUCAUUUAUUGCUCAUGUGAGCCAGUGAAGUUCUUGUACUUAAAUAUCCAAUGCUCGUUUAGAUCAUGUAACCAUGAAACAGAGGUAAGGAGCCAUCGUGCUCCAAAGAACGUGUAAACAAUAGUGGAGACAUUGGUUCUAAGCACAAGACUUUCCAGGAACUCAUUGGAGCCAACUUAUGUCAUGGCACACACCCGAACCCCCAAAUGAUAUGCAAUGGAGUAAUAAAUGCAAGAAUUAGUUCAAAAGUAACAUUGGGACAGUCGAGGGAUCACUCACACAAAAUCUAGUGCUUCAAGUAUUCACGUUCAACUAUACUCCAGGUUUGAAGUCCAGCUCUGCGAUAAAAAUCCAAUUUGAGAACUUGAAACAUGAGUAAGAUUCGAAACUUAAACGUUCCGUUCAUUAAGAAUCAACCAAUUGAAAUUCAUUUGAAAGGCAUUCGUGAAACACUUGCUCGCUUUUCAAAUCAUAAGGUUUUGUAGUAUAGAUACUUGGAAAUAACACUUGAGUUGAAGGUACAAGGAAAUACAAGUUUACAUUGGCCAUUAUGUCUUUUCCUCAAGGGUACAAGUUCGGCCAAGUCCUAAUGUAUAACCCUCGAUAAACAAAGUAGCAAAGGUGCUUGCUAGUUCAAGUAAUAAUCACUUAACUUUACACAAGUUACAAGUCUCGUUUCCUAGUCCUCGAGUAUAAAUUCGGGCAGCAUGCCCUUUGUGUUUACCUAAUUUUCCAGCCUUUUAGGCUUCAUUAUUUUUCUUCAACAACAACCCAACAACAUACAUAUCAGCAAUUUAUGUCAAGAGCCGUUCCAUAGGCUCACAAUAUCAUAACAACAAGAAUCGCAUCAAGUACAAGUGCAGAAAUUCAAUGUGGCACAAGACAGAUUUGACGUAUAAAAGCGGAAAUAACUUGUCCGAGGCUACGCUUAUCGGAUUAAGGCAAAACCUAUGCCGUUUCGAAGCUAAGACACAAAGCUACAACAUUCAUGAAGGUCACUUAGUCCAUUUCCUAAUGUAACUUAGUCAAAAUCUCAGAUUACUAAACCAGAAACCAAUUCAUCGGCUGUUUAAACGCAUUAUGCUGUAACGGACCUAACUCAGUGUACACAAGUCCGAAUCAGGUUUUCUUUGAGCCAUUUUAAAGCUACUUCAUAACACUACAACUUUUAUGUUUUGGCCCAGAGCUAAAUCAGAAUGGAUCCUGGUCAAAAAUCGUGAUAAACCGGACUGAACUGAAGAAACGGACUGCUGGAAAAUUCUUAAAACAGUAGGGGUAUUUUGGACUUUUCACGUUCUGCGUUGCUCCGAUUGAGAUGAAAUUUUAUAGGCACCUAUAAAAUACCAUUCUCUAUAACUUUCCUUCUUUGACCCAAGGCCAAUUCGGCCUCUAACACAUAGAUACAAAUUCGGACAGAAAUGAUCAAGAAUUUUCCAGAAAUCUGGAAUUUGUAGUUUCUAGUGAAAUUUUCCCUAAUUUCUCACUCCAAUCACUCCCAAAACACCUUAUAAAACCUCAAUGGUAACAUACAAGUAUCACACAUCAAGUUGGGCAGAAAUUCCACAGCCCUAGUUCAUCAAUUAAAUUGGGGAAAACUUCUACACAUGCUAGCAUCCAUGAAUCCACCACCAAUCAAGCUACUAAGCUUACUUUAACCAUGAUUGAAAGAGAAAGUUAGAGAGAUAUCAUCCUCUUACCUUGAUUUGAGUUCUCCAAGGGUAGCCCAAGCCUUCUCUUUCCAAAAUUUCACCACCAAACACUAGCUAAUCACU
rnacentral:lncRNA from 1 species